CUUGACGCAUGUCCAUUGUGCGUGUGCUAACUUUAUCUCAUGCCGCACAGAUAGACUGCUAUUGUAUUUUAACCAUUUUUCUUUCACCUCAUAUUUGGUCUCAAAUGCUGAUACUAUGUGGGAAUGCAUAAAGACCAUUGUCAAUCAACCUCCUUUGUGCCACCCUGCCGAGGUCAUGGCUAGCUUGCUUGCUUGCUAGCUUGUAAAUGAAUCUUCGGUUCAAAGGAGGAGGACUGCAACAGGAGGAGGACUGCGGCAAUAUGUUUUAACAAGGAUACAAAAACGCUACAAUACAACGGAACGGCACCGGGACAAAAAGGCACGGUAACAUACGCGUGAGUGACUUAAUAAUUUCUUGUGUCCGACCUGUAGGUGGAUCAUUAAAAUUCAAACGGAGGUUUGAACUUUUUUUUAAGAGUGUAUAAACGAGAGAAAUGUGAGAAAAUGUUAUUGCCUGUCUGUAACGUGUAUAAAGUUUAUGGUGAGGGGUUUUACUGCCUUAAAAAAUAUACUUGUAUAAUAAUUGUAAAAAAAUUAAGUUGGCUACUUUACGGAUUUCACUUAUUGCGGGCUAUUUUGGGAACCUAUCCUCCGUGAUAAACGAGAGAACACUGUACAUUUUUGUUGUUGAAAUACCCAAUUUUGAGCAACUAAGGCAAAUGAUUCGAAUGAUCCUGAAAACACAGCACACUUGUUCAGGCAAAGUAAUGACAGGAUAUUACAAUAUAGACUUUAGAUACAAAAGUAUUGGGACACCUUGCCAUUAUGGAAUCCCUUUGUCCACCUUUGUAUUGAUAAUAACAUUCUGUAUAUUUCCUCUCUUUUUGUCCAUUCACUCAACAUUUGGGAGGUCAGAUGAUGCUGGAUGAGAGAACCAACGUUGGAAGCAUUGAAUUACGACAUGACCAAAUGAUGGAUCAGCUGUCCCAGCUAUCCCAGUUAUGUGUGAGGGUGUGUGGCAGGUCAUGUGUGCCAGCUUCUCAAGUAACCUCUGGUAGAGUUGCAUAGAGGGCACAAGGUGGAGCCGUUAAUGGCAGAAUGGCGCUAUAUCUACAGUAUCCCUUUCUGCUUAUUUUGGGACACGGCUACAAGUGAGGAGUGCUUUGAAUGCCUGAGCUACCAUUCAAAGUCUGUACAAACAGCAAUGAACCACGCCGCUGUUGAAUUUGACCAUCACUUGGGGGUAAAUGCAUGCAUGACAUCAUGCAAGACAUGGGCGUAUGGAGUAAGACGUUAGUUCAACAAGCAUCAAAGCCAGGGCCGCCGCUGGCAAAAUUGUUCAAUAACAAACAACAAAUUAAGAAAAUUAAAUAAUUUAAAAAACUGUCUACAGUCAUCCCUCAUCAUUCCAGACCCAACCGCCAUAAGUUAAUUUCCAUUAAGUAGGAUUCAAUAUUAAUAAAUAAAUAAUAUUAAUUAGAGCAUAGAAAACCCGUUCGACUUUCUAAAUACAUUUUUUAACAUGAUUAGAGCCCCCCUUUAGUCACCUUCUCACUCCUGUUCUUUUUAAACACCAGGAACAUAAGGGGACAUAACCAGGGACAUAACACCAGGGACAUAAGAGACGGCUGCCACUCAUAGCAUAUAGCAAGCCACGGAGCUAACUGUUUACUUAUUCUAAACUUGAAAAAAUGUUUCAAAUGGAAUUUAUAAACCUUUUUGUCCACUCGAUCAUGUUGGACAUGCCAUGACUUGUAAUCUAAUGUCCUGUCUCGUCAACGUAACAUUACUGACGCCUAGUGACCAGAAUACUACAUAUUCUCUUUCUUUGUUUUUCUGACUAAUAAUAAGCCAGAGUCAACCACGAAACAGCGAUCAUGUGUUAAUGAAUACAUUUUUGAAAAUCCACAACAUAGUGAUGUUUGAAUCGCGAUCUAGCAUGUGCAUACACACACACACACACACACACACACACACACACAUACAUAUAUAUAUAUAUAUAUAUAUAUAUAAAUAUUAAAAGUAAUUCCUGAUCAACAGGCAGUCAAAAAUAUUUAACAUGCAGCCGAUGUCUGACUUCUUGUUUUGGCAAUAGAUUUUUUUUUUAGGCAUAGAAUUUCUUGAUAAUUAACGAUUCAUUUGAUUUGAUUGAUUUUGACAUACACUACAGGUCGAAAGUUUUACAACACUGUGGAGGAAAGAUUAAGAUGGUCUGUCUCUCUUCCAUUGUUAAUUCCCUUUUUUUCUUGACAUUUUUGGAGCAACAAAUUGCUUUCUCCCGUACAAUGCUGUUCAACUGAUGGUCCUGAUUGUACAGCACCACAGUGUGUUCCGAGCACUGUUUUUAUGCAGACAGAGGAGGUAGUAAGUACUCCAGAACUCGGAACACCUAUAGGAAUGAGUUGCACCAACUGCCAAGGCUUGAUCAACCUCCAUUUCUGCAGAACAGCUUUAAAUUGUUAACCCAUUUUGUGGCACAUGAAACAGGCCUUUUUGUCUAAUUCUGAAAUAUACAUUUUUCAGUUUUGGGUAUCCUUACCUUUUUUUUCAUUUGGCUUUUUUUCCCAUGUCCCGCUAUUCAUUGGACUUGAAUUUCAACAAAUAACUGGAAGAAUUGGGGUGUUGUAAAACUCUGACCAGUAGCGUAUGCAAUAUUUGUGUUCCUCGGUUUGCCAAAAAGGUGCUCUGAAAUACUUGCUUUCAAAGGCCAUUAGCUUGUUGUGAGUGACUUCAUGACCUGGAGAACACCUGGGUGGGGCCAGUUGAGAAGCCCUUACUUUAAAAAAAAAGCUGCACAGUUAAUCCUUUUUCUAUGAUGGUCACAGCUUAAACCAGGAACAGAUCAUUUUGGAUGUCAUUAUGUCCUAUGGUGAAAAUUGUUAUGGAAUCUGAACACUUUCUGAGAAUGCAAUGUGGCAAAGUGAUGGAGGAUUAUGCAACACUCACUUCCCCCCCCAGUAAUAAACUGUAUUUAUUAGAGUUCCCAAAUCAUUGAUCACAGCAUGUGAAGCAUUGUUUCGUAAUGUGUUGUGUAUAUGCAGUUGCAUUUCUCACCAUGUGCGCAUGCUUACAUUGAGUGUGCAUGCAUGUACUGUAUUUGUGUGUGAUAUUUAAGCUCUACGAUCAAAUAUUUUUAUCCCAGAAGGAGAACAUCAAUAUCUGAAACAGUGGACCUGCUGUAAUGGGAGGAAAUGCAUCUGACUGUAUGUAUGAGUGUCCUUGGAUGACAGCCAAGGUGAUGUGUUUUCUUUAAGUAGGCCACACAUUGAAGGUUUAAUGUAUUUCUGAGUGAACCCACAGAGAACAGACCGAGGACACCAUUACCUAGAGAGGGAGCGAGGGAGGUGAGAUGGCAAGAACAGCAAAGAGAGGGAGGAGGGGAAUGGUCAUGGAGGUGGAGAAUAAAGAGGAGAGAUAAACGGCAAAGGGGAGACAGAAGGGAUGGCGGACGUUACCAGCAUACAGGAAGGAGGAGCGAGAUGGAUAGAAAGUGGUGAAGGGAGUGAAAUGUCCUUUCCAAGGUAGCUAAAUGACAGCUGGACCGAGAAUUACAAGAGCAGCUAAGCACCGGAGGACAAGGUGGGGGUCAUGUAUACGUUAUACACACACAAACACGCACGGAUACAGCUUGCACAAUUUGACACCCAUUUACACGUGCAUCUGUUUGCUAGAACUUCCUGCAAGUUGUACUACAAGAACUAAAGUAUCGCAUAACGGUCUGUGAAAGUGGAGAUGCGGUAUCCCUUCGUAAGGCAAGGGACAUUUCAGUUGAAAUGGACGCCACAUGUGAUUUCUCCCAGCCAAUAAGCAAAGAAAGGCAGUUAUAAUCAGGAAAAGAUAUGUAUAUAUAAUAUAAUAUGAGGAAAAGAAAAUGUACUAUAUACCAGUUAUACCAGUAUUUUAAAUAUGAAGAUAAUUAUUAGGCACAGUAUAUAUUCAAAGUUACAAAAAGUAAAAAUGAUUCCAUUUCACGUAUUGCAGGGAAGUCCAAAGUGUGGCCCGGCGGCCAUUUGUGGCCCGCGGCUGUGUUCUUAUUGGCCCGCGGCACAUUGUAAAAAUAGAAUUUAACAACAAAACAAAAAAAAAACAGCAAAAAUUACAAAUCCAGAAUAUUCAGUCAAAAUAUUAAGAGAACAAGAAAAGGUCAUAAUUUCAUGAGAAUAACAUAAUAUUGUGAGGAAAAAUAACCAUUAAUAAUCAUUUUACGAUCAUAAAGUUGAAAUGUGCGAAUCAAAUAAAACGAUGAGUAAAGUUGUCAUUUUUUUGGAUGUAGGAAAAAGUUACAAUGUCACGAAAAUAAAGCCAAAAUAAAAUCAUAAUUACGAGAAGAAAGUUGAAAUAGCAGAUAUGGUGCAGCUGCAAUUUUACGAGAAUAAAAUAAAAAUAUUAAGAAAAAAAUGUCAUAUUCUAAUGAGAAAAAAUGUCGCAAUUUUAUGAUUUUACAAUUAUGAGGAAAAAAUGUCAUUUUAGUAGCAAAGAGUUGAAAUAUUAAAUACAAAAUAAUUUUUUUGUAAGAAAAAAAAAGAAAAAUUACAAAUAUUAUUUAACAAGAAAGUAAGAAAUAUUUGUGAGAAAAGAGGAAAAAUGGUCGGAAAAAGAAAGCAAAGUUCAUACUGGUCAUGACACUUUAUUUUUUAAUUUACAAAAUAUCAAAAUGGCCCUUGCAUCCUUUCAUUUCUUAGUUUUUGGCCCUCACUUGAAAAAGUUUGGACACCCCUGACGUAUUGCAAUAGUUAACUGUGAAGUAUCUCAAUGACUGCCAUAUAAAGGGGAUAAAAGAUUACGUUUAAAUUACACUUAACACUAAAGAAGUUGUUUUAUUUGUCUCGUGUUUGGAAUCCGGUUAUGAUGCACGCCUCAUGGACAGGUCUCUAUCAAUCAUGAAGCACUUUCAGGUUGAAUAAAACAUUACAACGACGUAGUUUGACAAUAAAUACAUGAACUUUAAAUAUUUACUUUAAUUUGUUACUAUCCCAAGACGUAUGCAUUUGCAAAUAGAGAGAAAAACAUGACAGCUUUUUAAUUGAUUUGAUGCUAUGCAGUGGAGCGUUGAUUUGAUGCUAAUGUUGCUUUAGCACACAGGAGCUAAUGUUCCCGUUCAGAGUUGCCAUUGCAGUGCUUCACCAAAUGUUGCUAAAAAACUGAAAUGACCACACGUUGUUUAUUUCAUGAUAAUUAAUAUAAUGAAAUAUAUAAUAAAUUAAAUACAGUUGUCGCCGACCACAUCGCGAUUUGAAUUUCACGGCUUCACUCACAAGUUUUCCAAAAAUACUGUAUACUAAUAAAUACAUCAUGCUGUUUCGGAGUUGAGUGCGGCCAAUUAGUAAAAAAAAAAAAAAAAGUACAUCUAAGUAAGUUUACUUUUUUUGUUGUUGCCUGAAUUAAGCAUUUUCAAGUAUAAAAAUGGCGAAAUGAAGUAAAAUAAAAAUAAAAGGCAUUAAGAAGAUGCAGUCAGAUUGUGAUGUAGUAAUCGACACUGGUCACCUGGUGGCAGUAAUGUUACUUUAUGUUUGGUUAAACAUGUAUUGGACCCUGAAGUACACUGAGAUAGGUACGGUGAUUUCAAAUAGAGUCAAGCUAAUAUACAAAAAUAGAAAAAAAGAGAACAAAAUUAUAUAAAAUACAGUAUGUGAAAAUGGUAUUUUAAAUAAUAAAGGAAGAAAAUAAGUAAAAAAAAAAAAAUGAAUAAAUGCUGGACGCAAGAAACACUUACAGUAAAUGCCCACUGUUACUUGCUAGAUAUAUCGACUAUGGCGCUAAAUUGCCAACACGAAUCUCUUCAACACGGACGUAUGAGGUGUGUUAGGAAGCAGAUGAUUGCCGGUGCUUGAAAGUUGGCGCUUAGCCAAAUGCAGUGAGCGUCAAAAGAACCACUCGGUGAUGAAGGGUUCAAGUCUGAACAUCUAUGUGGGUUGAUCUGACAAAUCUUUAAGUAAAAUGAUCAAAUGUAGAAUUACCACAGCCUCUGAUUAGACAUGAAGUAGCAAGCAGCUGUUCAACUCCGAUGGAAAAAACAGCCGCAUGUCGCUCGCUGAGGCUGUGAACACCGAGGUAGCUUGGAUUGCAAGGUGUCUCGAAAGCACUUAAUGUGCCUUGCACACUGCCACUUCCAUAUUAUGUUUUUUUAUCAUUCAUAGUAAAGAUGCCAUAGUUCACAGUCUGAUUGGCUCUUGGCUGCCCUGUUCUCGCGAUACAACUUUUCCCCAAAUGAGAAAUCUCGAAAGUUACCUCGUGGCACGGCUGUCAUUAUUUGUCGUUUUACCCGAAGAGAGAAAAGGAGGCGUCACAGAGUGUAGGCCGCUGUUUGAGGAUACGGUAUAGCAGCAUAAAUGAGGAGGGAUGAUAAAACUAAUCUUUCAGUUUCGUGCAGUAGAGAUGCACUCAACUUUGAAGAAUUAUCCAGAAAGAAGUAAAACUAUGCAAUAAUAAAGCGGAGCCAUUUCACCAAAGCCAUAUGGAUCAUGGAGUGAGCUGAGGACUUUUAAGUAGCAUCGUGAGUCACUUGGACACACACACACAAAGAUAUGCAUUGUAUUGCAUUGACAGUCAUAAGUUGAAGUAGCCUAAGGAUGGAUGUUACGGACAGUGAUGCCAUCAGUGAUAAGGACAUCAUCAUCGUGUGAGAUCAUCACAUCGCUGGACAUGAAAGUGUUGAGCUGUAUGACACAGACUGAGUAAGACUUAAUGUUUGGGCAUGGAGGUAUGGAUUUUUUGUGACAGCAAUGACCCACCCAUUAAAGUCAGACACAGAGAGCGCGAAAGUGGACAUUUAAAGGUGGACAAACAGACUUAAACCCACCAGCGGUAUACAAAAGUGGAAAGCUGUGGUGUCAUGUAAAGAUGCAAAGUCUCACUCACCCAGCAGCAGUGCAACUAGCAGACCUGGCACACUCCAGCCGGUGUUGUCCAAUGACGCCAUGGCACCACCUGUCUUGUCCAAGCCCUUGUAUGUCUCCCAAUCCUGAACCUUGUCCUCGUCUGACCCUGUCACAGGCAAAAACAAAAUGUGUCUGUCUUAAAGGUCUCGGGGAGCAAGGCGGUCCUGCUUUCGGUCCCUCCCUCUUCCCCCCCUCCUGUCCCAGGAAGGAAGCGCAAGGAGUUGUGUCCAGGCUGGAGAAUACUGUCCUCCUCCUCUCUCUUUCUGUCUUCCUGUCCUCUGUCAACAGCCUCAGUGGCGAUCCAGCGAGCGAAAAAAAGGCAGUGAGGUAGAGCAGAAGCAGUGUGGCGACGUGGUGUUAGUGUCAGACAGCCUCACCACUCUUACAGCAGCGCUAUCAGCCAGGGAAGCAAGCUGGCCAACAAACCCUGCAGGGGGGAGACGUAGGCUGGAGGAGGGCUGGAUGGCGCAUGGGAGAGAGAGGCACAAGAAAGGGAUGCUGGUGCAGCAGGCAGACAGAGAAGCAGCAAGCCAAGGUCUCCACGAACAUCCAAUGGAGAACUGAGUGCGGGAGGGACUGCAGAGGAAGAGAGAGAGAGGGAGAAGGGGGGGGGGAAUGAAGGUGAUUACUAGUGCGUCAUACGCACACAUGGCAAUCCAGGAUAAUUUGGCUGAGUCAGCCUUACUUUACGAGAGUUGGAGACAGGAUGAGUGCUUGGCUUCAGUCACAGCACUCACCGUCUCCUUUGCUGCAUCCUCUAUUCCCGUCUCACUCUCAUGCGUCUUUUACUUCAUGCUCACUACCUCUAUCUAGCACCGCCACCAUCUGACCUUGUUCAGUGGCGAUGAACGUCGAGCUCUGGAGUGUGUAGUGUGAGUCGUAUACCUUUAACAAACUACAAUGGAACCUCCAAGGUCAAACACACACCACACUCAUUUCCCACAGGUAAUAAUAAAUAUAGAAUUCAUCUGUGCCAGGGUCAAACUGUCGCCAUCAUGAAACCUGAUAUGUAUUUGUAUUUUCGUUCAUUUAACCAUUUAUAUGCUUUAUAUGCUUGAAAUGCUUAAUUUAAGCCAAGAAUACAUACAAUUUGCUAAUAUAUGUAUAUUCUUUGGUUAAUAAUAGGCCAUAUUCAACCAAAAAAUGGUGGUUAAAAACAAAAAAAACAAAGCUGAAGCUGAAACUGAAGUUAGAAUGAUAAACAAACAACACAAACUUUACAAAUAAAUAUUUUUGACAUUUCCAAAAAUAAAUCAGUGACCAACAGAGCCUACAUUUCAAUAACACGGGAAAAAGCCUUCCAUCCAUGGAGUCUGUCAGUUUCGUGAUCAUUUGACCAUCAACUUGUUGUGCAGCAGCAACCAAAGCCUCCCAGACACUGUUCAGAGAGGCGUUCCUUUUUUCUUCACUGUAAAUCUUAAGGGCCCACAAGUACUCAAUAGGGUUUAGGUCAGGUGAGCAAGGAGGUCAUGUCAUUAUUUUCUAAGACCUUUUUAAGACUAGCUAGCCACGCAGUGGAGUACUUGGAUGCAUUAGAUGGAGGAUUGUCCUGCUUAAAAAUCAUGGUCUUCUGGAAAGAUGCACACUUUUUUCCUGUACCACUGUGUAAAAAAAGUGGCAGUAGGUUUGGGAGUUGAGUUUGAGUCCAUCUUCAACCUGAAAAGGCCCGACAAGCUCAUCUUUUAAUAAUUCCAGCCCUACCAGUACCCCACCUCCACCUUUCUGCCGUCUGAGUUGGAGUGGAGCUCUUGUAAAAAUGAGAAUAUGGUCAAAAUACUGACUUGCCAAAUAGUUGUGCACACAGUGUAGUUUUGUAUAUAGGUAUUGUAUACAGCUUUUGUAGUUUUUUAAAUGUAGUUUCUGUAUGUUGAGAUUGCACAGUGUAAAUGUAGCUUAUAUUAGGGUUAUUGUGUGCAAACUGUGUGGUUAUUUAUAUUUAAUGUUGAUUGUUGAGCUUAGAGUUUAUUGCUUUUAUUAUUUAUCCACUUAUUUACAGCAUCUUCAUUUAGUGGUAAGUUUUUUUUUUUUAUUUGUUUGUAAUUUCUUAACUAUGUUAAUUGGGUGACACAUUAUUAAUGGUAAAUUAAUGGUAAAUGGUAAAAACACGCCAUUCAAUUUCUGUGUAUGUAAAUUGCCAUAUAAAAGCUCGCCUAGGGCACCACUUUGGGUAGGGACGGCGCUGGGUGAGUCUGUCACAUAAGUGUAAAAAGAAGCCAAGCACUAUAAAACAAAAUAAAACACCCGUAGCAGCUAGCCCGUCAACAACAUGCAGUUGUGGUCUGACGUUUUUAUGCUGGCAAAGAGAAUUGAAAUAGGCUGCAGUUAAUCAGCCUGUAUUUACACUUGUAAAUUGCAGAAUUCACACUAGAAAAAGAAUGGUUCAAGUCAAUCAUUAAGGGCUCAACAUUAAUAUAACAUCCACGCCAAUGGUGAGUGUCUGUAAACUUCAGCAUUUUUGGCUUACUACGUGAUAUAAUGCUGCAGUCUCAAAUGCUAAGUGUUCCUUGCAUUAAGCUCACUGCUUCACACACACGCACACACACACACACACACACGCACACACGCUGAGAGUGCCUUAGCAUUAGCAUAUAACACAAGGGAAAUGAAAAAGGUCUUAACAUUUAUCGAUUGAUGAACAUGAGUCAAUUUCGUAACAUUGGCUUUUGUCCACAUUACAUCACCAGAAAUAAUUAUUUAUUAUUACAAAUUGUAUUUACAACUUCCCGUAGU